rnacentral:rRNA from 1 species
AUUGAACGCUGGCGGCAGGCCUAACACAUGCAAGUCGAGCGCGCGGCGGGGGGGUGAGUAAUGUCCGGGAAACUGCCGCAUGGAGGGGGAUAUCUCCUGGAAACGGUAGCUACAACCGCGCACCAUCAGAUGUGCGCAGAUGGGAUUAGCGAGUGGGUGGGGUAACGGCGCACCAAGGCGACGAUCCCUAGCUGGUCUGUGAGGAUGACCAGCCACACUGGAACUGAGACACGGCCCAGACUCCUACGGGAGGCAGCAGUGGGGAAUAUUGCACAAUGGGCGCAAGCCUGAUGCAGCCAUGCCGCGUGUGUGAAGAAGGCCUUCGGGUUGUAAAGCACUUUCAGCGGGGAGGCGUUACCAGCAGAAGAAGCACCGGCUAACUCCGUGCCAGCAGCCGCGGUAAUUC